rnacentral:rRNA from 1 species
CGUGUGGUUCUAUUUUGUUGGUUAUGGGACCGCCGUAAUGAUUAAUAGGGACAGUCGGGGGCAUCAGUAUUCAAUUGUCAGAGGUGAAAUUCUUGGAUUUAUUGAAGACUAACUACUGCGAAAGCAUUUGCCAAGGAUGUUUUCAUUAAUCAGGAACGAAAGUUAGGGGAUCGAAGACGAUCAGAUACCGUCGUAGUCUUAACCAUAAACUAUGCCGACUAGGGAUUGGGCGAUGUUACUUUUUGACUCGCUCGGCACCUUACGAGAAAUCAAAGUUUGUGGGUUCCUGGGGGAGUAUGGUGGCAACGCUGAAACUUAAAGAAAUUGACGGAAGGGCACCACCAGGGGUGGAGCCUGCGGCUCAAUUUGACUCAACACGAGGAAACUCACCAGGUCCAGACACAAUGAGGAUUGACAGAUUGAGAGCUCUUUCUUGAUUUUGUGGGUGGUGGUGCAUGGCCGUUCUUAGUUGGUGGAGUGAUUUGUCUGCUUAAUUGCGAUAACGAACGAGACCUUAACCUGCUAAAUAGCCCGUGUUGCUUCUGCAGCACGCCGGCUUCUUAGAGGGACUAUCGGCUCAAGCCGAUGGAAGUUCGAGGCAAUAACAGGUCUGUGAUGCCCUUAGAUGUUCUGGGCCGCACGCGCGCGACACUGACAGGGCCAGCGAGUUCUCCCUUGUCCGAAAGGACCGGGUAAUCUCGUUAAACCCUGUCGUGC